CCAAGCGUGUCUGCACUAGUACGAGCAUCACCUUAAAAAGCUCCUUAACAUAUUAUGUAUCACUAUAUUUCUUAGUCUUUCUGCAAAAUUUUCAUUCAUUUAGUCCAAACGAAUAUUGCAACAUGGGAGGUUGUACGCAUCCGCGAAGGCCUCCAGAUGGCAAACACGGCGUCAUCUCUUAUCAGGCAGCAUCUCCAAACGUGUUGACGUCCCUUAGGAACCUUACUUUAUUGUUCAAAAACGCGCGCGUGCAGCACGUGACGACCACAAAUCAAGUGGUGCACUAAUUGAUUAAAUAGCCUAUUAGAUGACGUUUAAAAACAAUCAUCCAAGAUUUAAUAUAUGUACACUGUAAAUGCUAACAUUCAAAUUAAUUAAAUUUGAUAAGUGAACUAAACUCAGUUUUCAUCAACCUGUUGUGAACACUACUUUUAAAUAAGUAAGUAGUAAUUUGGGGUUGGAGAACUUGCUUAACUUGAUAUAUCCCAGUUAAGUCAAAUUAGAAAAAAUAAUUUAUUGUACCCAGUGUCCUUUGCGCGUUCUAUCAGACAUGCGCAGAUCUGCCCUGCCUACUUUCGCGCUCUUUCCAACACCUUUCUCAUUUAUUUUCGCUAUUGUGGGUUUAUUUGUCCUCAGCACACUGAUUUGGCUGAAGCAAAUGGUCAGAAGUCCACACAUACCUCAGUCUCUGCAAUUACAGGUCAACCAGAGCAGUAUUCUCUAAUGCAGUGGACUUGUAAGUACUGCACAUUUUCUGCUGGAAAGAGAGGCUACUUGCUUAAGCAUUACCGCUUAAAACAUGGAUACCACACUCGGACAUCCCUACUCCCCAUGUCUUCAUAAGGACUGCCUCUGCACAUUUAAAUCUUUUAAUGCACUCAAAGUACACCUAUCGACAUGCCACUCUCAAAAAGAUGCAGACAAAAGUGGAGAAACUGCAUUUGACUGUCAGUUGUGCAACUUUGUGGAGCCUUGUUAAGAAGCAGACUUCUUUACCCAUUUGCGAAGACAUCUUAAGCUGAGGCAAAUGGUUACUUGCAUAUAUCAAGACUGUAACUUUCAGAGCACUGUUUAUUCUACCUUCACUGCACACAAAAGCAGAAAUGUGAAAUGAGUUUGAACCAUAGUAUGGGUAGGACAUUUGUGUCUAAAUCAUUCAAUCCCAAUAAAAGUUGCUUCAAUCAAAAAAAAUAUUUUUAAUGAAAGAAAAAGAACCUCUUGCUAAAAUGUUUUUUUGAAAAUAUAUUUUUUUUGAAAUAUAUAUAUUUUUUUAUUGACGUGUCACUUUUUUUGCAAAGCAUGAAGUUUUAAACUUUUUUUUUUUUUAA